rnacentral:rRNA from 1 species
GACGAACGCUGGCGGCGUGCUUAACACAUGCAAGUAGAACGGAAAGGCCCUGCUUUUGUGGGGUGCUCGAGUGGCGAACGGGUGAGUAACACGUGAGUAACCUGCCCUUGACUUUGGGAUAACUUCAGGAAACUGGGGCUAAUACCGGAUAGGAGCUCCUGCUGCAUGGUGGGGGUUGGAAAGUUUCGGCGGUUGGGGAUGGACUCGCGGCUUAUCAGCUUGUUGGUGGGGUAGUGGCUUACCAAGGCUUUGACGGAUAGCCGGCCUGAGAGGGUGACCGGCCACAUUGGGACUGAGAUACGGCCCAGACUCCUACGGGAGGCAGCAGUGGGGAAUAUUGCACAAUGGGCGGAAGCCUGAUGCAGCAACGCCGCGUGCGGGAUGACGGCCUUCGGGUUGUAAACCGCUUUCGCCUGUGACGAAGCGUGAGUGACGGUAAUGGGUAAAGAAGCACCGGCUAACUACGUG